rnacentral:rRNA from 1 species
AGCGAACGCUGGCGGCAGGCCUAACACAUGCAAGUCGAACGAACCCUUCGGGGUUAGUGGCGGACGGGUGAGUAACACGUGGGAACGUGCCUUUAGGUUCGGAAUAACUCAGGGAAACUUGUGCUAAUACCGAAUGUGCCCUUCGGGGGAAAGAUUUAUCGCCUUUAGAGCGGCCCGCGUCUGAUUAGCUAGUUGGUGAGGUAAUGGCUCACCAAGGCUACGAUCAGUAGCUGGUCUGAGAGGAUGACCAGCCACAUUGGGACUGAGACACGGCCCAAACUCCUACGGGAGGCAGCAGUGGGGAAUCUUGGACAAUGGGCGCAAGCCUGAUCCAGCCAUGCCGCGUGAGUGAUGAAGGCCCUAGGGUUGUAAAGCUCUUUCACCGGUGAAGAUAAUGACGGUAACCGGAGAAGAAGCCCCGGCUAACUUCGUGCCAGCAGCCGCAGUAAUAC